UGUUUUUUGUUUUGGGGCGUUCGGUGGAUGCCUUGGUGCUUGGAGCUGAUGAAGGACGUGGUGGUCUGCGAUAUGCCUUGGGGAGUUGACGAGCGAGCUGUGAUCCAGGGGUUUCCGAAUGGGGUAACCUGACUGGGCUUUGGCCUGGUUACCAGCCUUUGAAUGUAUAGGGGGUUGGGGGGAACGUGGGGAAGUGAAACAUCUUAGUACCUGCUGGAAGAGAUAUUCUGUGAGUAGUGGUGAGCGAAAGUGGAUGAUGGCUAAACUGUGUGCGUGUCAAGGCGGCAGCUGUUGCGCAUGUGGGGUUGUGGGAUAUGUUUUUUGGUUCUUCUGCCGGGGGCCGGGUAGUGAUAAAUGCAAGUGGGGAGCUGAAUAGUUUGGGAUGGCUGACCGUAGUGCGUGAUAGUCGUGUAGGUGGUUCCUGUUUGCCUGCCUUUUAUGUGUCCCGAGUAGCAGUGGGCUCGUGGAAUCUGCUGUGAAUCUGCCCAGACCACUGGGUAAGCCUGAAUACUACCAAGUGUCCGAUAGUGGAUAGUACCGUGAGGGAAUGGUGAAAAGUACCCCGAGAGGGGAGUGAAAUAGUGCCUGAAACCGUGCGCUUUUAAUCCGUCAGAGCCAGUCGACCGUGGGGUUUCCCGUGGUUGUGGUGAUGGCGUGCCUAUUGAAGAAUGAGCCUGCGAGUUAGUGGUGCGUGGCUUGGUUAACCCUUUGUGGGGUAGUCGUAGCGAAAGCGAGUCUUAAUGUUUUUGGGCGUUUGUGGUUGCGUGCUCUAGACCCGAAGCGGGGUGAUCUACCCAUGGCCAGGUUGAAGCGAUUGUAGUAGGUCGUGGAGGACCGUACCCACCUAGGUUGAAAACUGGGGGGAUGAGUUGUGGGUAGGGGUGAAAGGCUAAUCAAACUCCGUGAUAGCUGGUUCUCCCCGAAAUGCAUUUUGGUGCAGCGUUGCGUGGGCCGGGUGGUGGUAGAGCUACUGGUUGGUUGAGGGGCCGUUUGGUUACUGACGUCAGCUAAACUCCGAAUGCCAUUUCUGGUUUUUGCGUGGCAGUGAGACUGUGGGGGAUAAGCUUCAUAGUCGAGAGGGAAACAGCCCAGAUCAUCGGUUAAGGCCCCUAAGGGUGUGCUGAGUGGGAAAGGAUGUGCAGUUGCAUUGACAAUCAGGAGGUUGGCUUAGAAGCAGCUAUCCUUGAAAGAGUGCGUAAUAGCUCACUGGUCGAGUGAUUGUGCGCCGACAAUUUAGCGGGGCUUAAGCACGCCGCCGAAGCCGUGGCAGCAUAAUGGUUUUUUUGUUGUGUUGGGUAGGGGAGCGUCCUGCGUGUGGUGAAGCUGGCACGAAAGUGUUGGUGGAGUGCGUGGGAGUGAGAAUGCAGGCAUGAGUAGCGUUUGACGGGUGGGAAUCCCGUCCGCCGAUUGACUAAGGGUUCCAGGGCUAGGUUUAUCCGCCCUGGGUUAGUCGGGUCCUAAGGCGAGGCCGACAGGCGUAGUUGAUGGAUGACCAGUUGAUAUUCUGGUACCGGUGUUGUUUCGAUCGUGCUGACAAAGUUGUGCUAACCAUCAUCCACAAUGCAGCCGCGCCUCUUUCGGGAGGGUGGUUGUGGGUGGGUUUUGGGGUCCCUUCUUGGGUAGGCAAGCGCGUUAACAGGGGUGACGCAUUGAGGUAGCCUGCGCUGGCCGGUGGUUGUGCCAGUCUAAGGUUGUGGCCUGCUGCCCUGGUAAAUCCGGGUGGCUGCACUGUUGUGCGAGGGUGAGGGCUGAUGGGCCUGCACGCGUUGGCGUGUGGGUGUGGGUGAUCCUGUGGUGUCUAGAAAAGCCUCGGCGUUAGAAGCAAUACUGCCCGUACCCAUAACCGACUCUGGUGGUCAGGUAGAGUAUACCGAGGCGGCGAGUUAAUCAUGGUUAAGGAACUCGGCAAAAUGCCCCCGUAACUUUGGGAUAAGGGGGGCCAAACCCGGACGCUGAUUGUACUUUUAGUGGUUUGGGUUUGGUCGCAGUGAUUUGGCAGAAGCGACUGUUUAUCAAAAACAUAGGUGUGUGCGAAGCCGUAAGGCGAUGUAUACGCACUGACGCCUGCCCGGUGCUGGAAGGUUAAGCGGAAGGCUUAGCCACCCUGUUGGGUGGCGAGGGUUUGAAGUUAAGCCCCAGUAAACGGCGGUGGUAACUAUAACCAUCCUAAGGUAGCGAAAUUCCUUGUCGGGUAAGUUCCGACCUGCACGAAUGGCGUAACGACUUCUGCGCUGUCUCGACCAUGAACUCGGUGAAAUUGCAGUACGAGUAAAGAUGCUCGUUUCGCGCAGCAGGACGGAAAGACCCCGGGACCUUUACUAUAGCUUGGUAUUGGUGGUUGGGUGUGUUUGUGUAGGAUAGGUGGGAGACUUUGAAGCGCUCAUGCUAGUGGGUGUGGAGUCGUUGUUGAAAUACCACUCUGAUACUUCUGAUUGUCUAACUUUCGCCCGUGAUCCGGGUGGGGGACAGUGCCUGGUGGGUAGUUUAACUGGGGCGGUUGCCUCCUAAAUGGUAACGGAGGCGCUCAAUGGUCUUCUCAGCCUGGUUGGUAAUCAGGUGUUGAGUGUAAGUGUAGAAGAAGGCUUGACUGUGACACUGACGGGUGGAGCAGGUACGAAAGUAGGAACUAGUGAUCCGGCAGUUGCUUGUGGAAGCGCUGUCGCUCAACGGAUAAAAGGUACCCCGGGGAUAACAGGCUGAUCUUGCCCAAGAGUUCAUAUCGACGGCAUGGUUUGGCACCUCGAUGUCGGCUCGUCGCAUCCUGGGGCUGGAGUUGGUCCCAAGGGUUGGGCUGUUCGCCCAUUAAAGCGGUACGCGAGCUGGGUUCAGAACGUCGUGAGACAGUUCGGUCCCUAUCCGCUGCGCGCGUUUGGAAACUUGUGAAGGCCUGUCCCUAGUACGAGAGGACCGGGACGGACGAACCUCUGGUGUGCCAGUUGUACUGCCAGGUGCAUGGCUGGUUGGCUACGUUCGGUAAUGGAUAACCGCUGAAAGCAUCUAAGCGGGAAGCCGGCUUCGAGAUAAGGUUUCCCUCCCACACCUUGGUGUGGGGUGAGACUCCCAGUAGAUGACUGGGUUGAUAGGCCAGGUGUGUAAGCCUUGUGAGGGGUUUAGCUUACUGGUACUAAUAGUCAAACAGGAAAAACAAG
rnacentral:rRNA from 1 species